UUGAGGAUAAACUAAAAUGUUUUCUAAAACUAGGGUUGUAAACGACUGAACUGAGUUGAAUAGAAUAAUAGGUUAUUCAAGUUUGAUUUUGAAACUUAUUUACGUAAUGAACUAUUUUGAUUUGAACAAGUUUUUAAUGAACUAAACAAAAAUCGAGUUCAUGCCAUUCGUUAAAGUUUUCCGUUUUUUCCUAUCCAUGUUUUGAGAAAGAAAAAACAGCUAUCAAAAAAUGAAACCAUUCCUUUAUAAAGGCGUGUUUAAAACAUCAACAAAGAAAUGAAACCAAUCCUUUGUCAAGGGCCUAUUUAUACAUCAUUUAUUUCAUCAAAUGUUUCUUAUUAAAAAAAAUCAAAUGGCUGCUUUUUAUCUAUAUUAUUAUUAAAAGUGAAUACCUAAAUUGAUUUAGUAAAAUUUUUUUCUUCUCAUGUUACGUGGCAACUUUAUAUAUAUUAAAGUAGAAAUAUUGUUAUACGCAGCGUAAGCAGUGUUUGAACUUAAGACCUUAGAUUUUAUUAAGAAUAUACUUAUUACUUAAACAACAUAUAUAUAAUAAUAUUAAAUUCUUUAUAAUUUAUUUUUAUUAUUUGAAUUACACCCAGAUCAUGUGUCCUCAGCUAGUAUGAAAUAAAAACAAGGGACCAUUAUUGAAAGCAUGCUUUGACACAUCAGUACAUGUCUUUUUGGGGCUAAAUAAUUGUCUAGAAUAUUAAUUUCCUAUUAUUUUUAUUUAUUUUUUAUCGCUCAGGUGAAUUUACAUAACAAACAUAUAAUUUAUUGUAACUAAAAUAAUAAUAAUAAAAUCUGUAAAAGAUUGUGGAAAUCGUUUAAUUUUAUAUAAAUAAAUUUGAAAAGAGUACUUAUUUAUUUAUUUCAAUAUAAGGCCUAAUAAGUCAAAAAUAGAAUCAUAUUUUGUAUCUUUUUAAUAUUUAUUUUCUUGAGGGGCCGUAGGUGUAGGGGGGUUGUGACAAAAGUAAUGGUAAAUUAUUAGAACUUAGAAGGGUAGCAGGUAGAGAAAUUGACAACUUGAAACAUCACGUACACUGUCCACCGACCAUAAUAUAUAUGGCUUGGAAUUAGACUACAAUAAUAAUAGAGAUCACUAAUUUUAGAGUUUUAAAAAGAUUACUAAUGACAUGAUACUCAAUAAAAAAAAAAAAAUACAACACUAAGACUAAAAUAUCAAAUCAUUCAUGAUGGAACCCACUGCCACAUCAUUAAUAAUAGCACUAAUUAGUGCUCUCACUCAUUUUCGAUUAGACUAUCUUUAGGUUCAACUGAGACAAGUUGGGCCCUCGUAUCAAUCUCUUUUUAUUUAUUUAUUAUUUUAAAAAAAAAUUCAAAAUAUUUAUUUAGUGAGUUAUUUCUAAAACUGUUUUCAAAGUUUUCUAAGGGUUGUUUUGAGAAGAUGGUAAAAAGUGACUUUUUAGUUUUUAAUCAAGCUUUUGGUUUUUUUAGAUAAAUGAUUUGGGAAGUUGGUAAAAAGUGACUUUUGACUUUUUUGAUUAAUGUUUGUUUAUGAUGUCAAAUCAUAAUAAAAUGACCAAACUAUCCCCAUUUAUUUAAAAUAUUUACAACUUCACCUAUGGAACACAUUUUGACCCAUGAGGGGUACAAUUGUAAUUUCACUGUUGGCUAAAAAUCAACAUCCCAAAUGAAAAAAAA